rnacentral:rRNA from 1 species
AUGAGUAUUAUCUGUUGAAAUUGUCGUGGAGCUGGCAAUACUGUGACAGUUCGAGAGCUCCGUAAGAUCACGGCGAAGUUUGCCCCUUCGAUUCUUUGUAUUGUGGAAACUCAGAUUAAUAAAACUAGAGUAGAAGGUCUUGCUGCCUCUUUAGGGUUUGACAAUGGAUGUGCUAUUGAUAGCUUCGGGAGGAGCGGUGGUAUUGGCGUUUUUUAGAACCAGGGAAUAAAUUUAGUUACUCUAGAUUACUCUAAGUAUCAUAUAGACUUCUCUGUUCAGGGUAUAGGGCCGGCGGAUUGGAGAUUAUCUUGUGUCUAUGGAGAAGCCCAAACACAUGAGAGAUAUAGAACAUGGGAUACUUUGAAAGGAGUGGCCUCACACAGCCCUCUCCCAUGGCUCUGUAUAGGAGAUUUUAAUGAGAUUUUACGGCAGGAAGAACACAGAGGGGUUGGUCAGCGGAGUCACAACCAAAUGCAGGGCUUCCGGGAUAUGGUGGAUUUGUGUGGCCUCGCCGACCUGGGAACAAAGGAAGCUUUUGGACCUAUGCAAAAAAGGUGGCUGGUGGCGGCAAAAUUUUGUGUUUUGACCCUUUUGGCGUAUAAAAUCGGGAUCUGA